GGAAGCCAGCCACCAUUGCUGAUGGGCGGAAGAACUGCUGACGGCUGAGAGCCCAGGCAAGUCUGGGAAAGGAAGGUGAGCUGACAGAAGAGGAAUCAAUUCUGGACCGGAGGGUGUGUCCCUGCCUUUGCCCUCCCCGCCUCCCCCCACAUCCUUCUCUGGCAAGGGGAAUGAGGAUGAGAAUGACCUCCAUCCGCAGGACGAGCUUUGAGGGCCCUUGUUGCGAGCAGGAAGAAAAGGAAAGUAGCACUGAGGAACGGAUGGUGCCUGCAGCAGAGAGACAGCUUGGAUUCAUCAGAGAAAGGCCCAAGAGCUGCAUCAGUCAUUAUUAAAUAGAAAUCAAUAAGUGAAGUCACAAAAUUACGGUAGCCUAAAGGGCACACGAAAGGCCAGUGAUCAUUGCCUCCAAUUAACAUUUGUUAAUACCAGAGGAAGAAAUGCCGCAGAGGAAGCUUCCAACGGCAGGUGAUUUCUCCACCUCAACCCAGUCCAAGUGCACAGAGAAGUAAGGAUUCCAGGGACCUUGGCGACCUUGGGAACAGGUGCCAGAAUGAGACUGAGAAACCCUGACCCAACCCUUCCUCCUGGAGAUUCCUCAUCCAUGAAAUUGUCAGGCUGGAAA